rnacentral:rRNA from 1 species
UAGAGUUUGAUCCUGGCUCAGAAUCAACGCUGGCGGCGUGCCUAACACAUGCAAGUCGAACGCGAAAGAGGUUUUCGGACCUUGAGUAGAGUGGCGAACGGGUGAGUAACGCGUGGAUGAUCUGCCCUUUGGUGGGGGAUAACCCGGGGAAACCCGGGCUAAUACCGCAUAAGCCUCUAGUAUCGAAACUGGAGGGAAAAGUAUUUAGCCGAAGGAGGAGUCCGCGUCCGAUUAGUUAGUUGGUGAGGUAAAGGCUCACCAAGACAACGAUCGGUAGCCGGUCUGAGAGGACGGACGGCCACACUGGGACUGAGACACGGCCCAGACUCCUACGGGAGGCAGCAGUGGGGAAUUUUGGGCAAUGGGGGCAACCCUGACCCAGCAACGCCGCGUGGAGGAUGACGGUUUUCGGAUCGUAAACUCCUGUCCUGAGGGACGAAGAAGUGACGGUACCUCAGGAGGAAGCCCCGGCUAACUCCGUGCCAGCAGCCGCGGUAAUACGGGGGGGGCAAGCGUUGUUCGGAAUUACUGGGCGUAAAGGGCGCGCAGGCGGCAUCGGAAGUCAUGGGUGAAAUCCCCCAGCUCAACUGGGGAACUGCCUGUGAAACCACGGAGCUAGAGUGCUGGAGAGGAAAGUGGAAUUCCUAGUGUAGCGGUGAAAUGCGUAGAUAUUAGGAGGAACACCUGAGGCGAAGGCGGCUUUCUGGACAGACACUGACGCUGAGGCGCGAAAGCCAGGGGAGCAAACGGGAUUAGAUACCCCGGUAGUCCUGGCUGUAAACGAUGAGCACUUGGUGUGGGGGGUGCAUUCAGUCCCUCCGUGCCGAAGAAAACUCGAUAAGUGCUCCGCCUGGGGAGUACGGCCGCAAGGCUGAAACUCAAAGGAAUUGACGGGGGCCCGCACAAGCGGUGGAGCAUGUGGUUUAAUUCGACGCAACGCGAAGAACCUUACCGGGGUUUGAACUGUAGCGGCAACGAUCAGAGAUGAUUGGUUCCUUCGGGACUGCUACAGAGGUGCUGCAUGGCUGUCGUCAGCUCGUGUCGUGAGAUGUUGGGUUAAGUCCCGCAACGAGCGCAACCCUUGUUUGUAGUUGCCAUCAGGUCAAGCUGGGCACUCUACGAAGACUGUCGGCGAAAAGCCGGAGGAAGGUGGGGAUGACGUCAAGUCCUCAUGGCCCUUAUGUCCCGGGCUACACACGUGCUACAAUGGGCGGAACAAAGGGCAGCCAGCCCGCAAGGGUGCGCGAAUCCCAAAAAUCCGUUCUCAGUUCGGAUUGCAGUCUGCAACUCGACUGCAUGAAGUUGGAAUCGCUAGUAAUCGUGGAUCAGCACGCCACGGUGAAUACGUUCCCGGGCCUUGUACACACCGCCCGUCACAUCACGAAAGUGGGUUGUACUAGAAGUCGCCGGCCUAACCUUCGGGAGGGAGGCGCCGACGGUAUGAUUCAUGAUUGGGGUGAAGUCGUAACAAGGUAACCA